rnacentral:rRNA from 1 species
AUGAACGCUGGCGGCGUGCUUAACACAUGCCAGUCGAACGAGAAAUGUAGACGGAAACCUUCGGGCGGAAGCCUUCAUUUCGAGUGGCGGACGGGUGAGUAACGCGUGGGUAACCUGCCUCAUACAGGGGGAUAACAGUUGGAAACGACUGUUAAUACCGCAUAAGACCACAGCAUCGCAUGAUGCGGGGGUAAAAACUCCGGUGGUAUGAGAUGGACCCGCGUUCGAUUAGCCAGUUGGCGGGGUAACGGCCCACCAAAGCGACGAUCGAUAGCCGAUCUGAGAGGAUGACCGGCCACAUUGGGACUGAGACACGGCCCAAACUCCUACGGGAGGCAGCAGUGGGGAAUAUUGCACAAUGGGGGAAACCCUGAUGCAGCGACGCCGCGUGAGUGAAGAAGUACUUCGGUAUGUAAAGCUCUAUCAGCAGGGAAGAAAAUGACGGUACCUGAGUAAGAAGCCCCGGCUAACUACGUG